rnacentral:rRNA from 1 species
UACGAAGGGGGCUAGCGUUGUUCGGAUUUACUGGGCGUAAAGCGCACGUAGGCGGAUCGAUCAGUCAGGGGUGAAAUCCCAGGGCUCAACCCUGGAACUGCCUUUGAUACUGUCGAUCUGGAGUAUGGAAGAGGUGAGUGGAAUUCCGAGUGUAGAGGUGAAAUUCGUAGAUAUUCGGAGGAACACCAGUGGCGAAGGCGGCUCACUGGCUCGGUACUGACGCUGAGGUGCGAAAGCGUGGGGAGCAAACAGG